UACGUAGGGGGCAAGCGUUGUCCGGAAUCAUUGGGCGUAAAGCGCGUGUAGGCGGCUCGGUAAGUCCGCUCUGAAAGUCCGGGGCUCAACCCCGGGAGGCGGGUGGAUACUGUCGAGCUAGAGUCCGGAAGAGGCGAGUGGAAUUCCUGGUGUAGCGGUGAAAUGCGCAGAUAUCAGGAGGAACACCAAUGGCGAAGGCAGCACUCUGGGACGGUACUGACGCUGAGACGCGAAAGCGUGGGGAGCAAACAGG
rnacentral:rRNA from 1 species